UUAGAUGAAAACCCUAGAGGCAGCGCCUCUUUUUUUCAAAACGCAACUUUCCCUUUCUCUCUCUCGCGACCGUUCCUCACUCUCUCUAUGCAAUUCGUUCAUGGCUCAGCAACACAAAGCUGAAACUCAAACUCUCCGCUCUCUGUUUCUCACGAUUGGUCGUCAACCAAACAAAACAUCACGACAGCACAGAGUCAAACACACAUAAAAAAUACCCUUAUCCCUUUCAGAACCCUAAAUCCCCAAUUCUCAUUAAGAUUAAAUCGUUGGUUACAAUUACAUGGUAUGCAGAUAACAGAAAUUAAAUGAAGGUGAACGAAAAAAACAAGGAUCUGUUAUGCUAUUUAGCUGCAAUGCAGCAUAAAUUUUAGACUGAUAUGCAAGUUGGUGGAGCAGACAUUUGGGAUUUUUGGCAUGUAAUGUGCAGGGCGCAGGAUUUUCUGCAGGUUAACAGAUGUUCAUUUUGGUGAAAGAUACAUAGCAGCAUAGCAGUAGCAAGUUUUUUGUUUUGUGUAGUAGGUUUGGACUGGCUUUGCAAUGUAACGGUACAAUCUUGAAAUGAAAUUGAAUUGGUAUUGUAAA